GGCCAAUGUGGGUUGUGGAGUGAAGCAGGAAGCUCUGCAGAGUUCCUUGGUCAAAAGGAUGAAUUACAAAAGAACCCCACGAACACCAAGAAGAAGAGAAGGGAAUCCUGGGUAUUUAAAGCCACAAAGAAACUUGAUAUGGUCUUGUCUCCUUCUCUCAACUGACAGUGAGAAACUGAAGACCAGAGAGGACUAGGAAGAUACAUCCAAAAAGGAAGUGAUUGCGCCACUGCACCCCAGCCUGGGUGAGAAAUUCACUGGCAGUGUCAGUCGCUGUCUCCCUGCACUUCAUCCGUCUGAUAUCCCAGUACCUAGUGCUGUACUAGGCACACACUGUACUUCAAAAGGAAGCAUUAGUCUGCAUUAAUUAUCACCAGUGCAUUCGUCUGUGUAUUGUCUGUUCAUUCAACAAAUAUUUAGUAAGAACCAGGCAUUGAACUCGUGGUUAACGAGGAGCUUCCAUUCUGGUUGGAAGAGGCAGAAGGUAAGCAACAUGAAUGGGCAAGUCCACGGAAAGAUGGUUUCAAAUAGAGCUAAGUGCAAUGAAGACGGUAAACCAGGUAAGGAGAUAGAGAAUGAUGGCAGGAGGGACACACCUGACCUGGUGCCAUUUGAGCCAAGGCUUGCAUCGUAAAGAGUCAGACAGGAAACAAUCCAGAAGAAGAGUGUUCUAGACAGAAAGCAUAGCGCAUGCAAAGGCCCUGAGGUCACAGCAAUGUGAUGUCUUCCAGGAUCUGGGAGGAAGCCAGUAUAGCUGGGACUGGGGGAGUAGAAAUCUGAGAAAGCAGAGAGGAUGGAAAGCGAGGGUGGAAAGAGUAGGCAGGGGCUGUGGUGAUCUUGCCAGCCUAGUGAGCCUGGAAAAGCAUGCAUUCUAUUCUAAAUGGGAUGGUUAAGCAUUGAAGGUUUUUAAUGAGAAUGACAUGCUCUGUUGGUGGUUUAGACCAUGUCUGCAAACUCUCUGAUGCUUCUUCUCUGGAAGAUGAGGUCUAGGACUCCUCCCCUGGAGUUGGGCAGGCCUAUGAGAUCGUUUGGAUGGCUUGACUCUGUGACUGUCCAGGUUAGGUGAGUAGAGAAGCUUCUGCCUGGGCCCUGUCUCAGGAUGCACGCUUUAGGAGCUGCGUUGUAAGGAGUCCUUGUAAGGAGUCCAGCUACCCUGGACUCCUUGUAGAGAGGCCACAGAAAGUCAUUCAGAGGCUCAACUGGGCUGAAGGUGCAAGGUUUCUUGCUCAUGUGGCCAUCAGUGGUGCUUGCUGCUAUUGGGAGCUCCACUGGACUGUUGACCAGAGCUCCUCAGCUCACCUCUGUGUAUCCUUGCCAUGUGGCUAAGGCUUCUAACAACACAGAGGCUGGAUUCCAAGAGGAGGGAAGUAGAAGCUUUCAGCCUUCUUAAGACCAGGAUUCAGAUGUCCCAGACUGUCAUUGUAUUGACCGGAGCAUUUACAGGCCAGCCCAGUAAUUUUUCCAUCUCUGGGCAAGAACAGGUAGCAUAUGCCGAGGGUAGGGGUAGCAUUGUUGGGGACCAUCUUUGGAGCAGUGUGCCAAGGAGUAAAUUGCUGGGCUGCUUUCUACCUGGGGAAGUUCACUGUGCUUGCUUGUGGAGAGUGGAUUGUGUGCUCAGAGUCCACCAGGAUUUAAGAAUCAGCUCCCAGCCCUCCUCCCCUUGCCUCAGCCCGUGCAUUAGGGCCCUGUGGUGAGAGCACUGAGCCAUUGUGAAUCAAGGCCUCUCCCUCAACCUGCAUACUGACAGGCGAGAGGAGCUUUCUUGAUUUUGGUCCUAGGCUUCUGCCUGUGGGUUGGAUUCCAGGGGCACUCCGUCCUCCACAAACCAGUGACAGGUGCAGCCCCUCCAUGCAAGCUGUCCACACUUCACCCUAAAGACAGAUCCUGCUGUUCAGCAGCAAUGUGAGUGGCCCACACAUUUGCCCAGCAUGAAACCGUUUUCAAAUUCCUUUCCAAUACACAGUCCCAUCAGCCAGUCACAUCACGAUGACAGCUCCUCGAAACACCUUUUGGUUUGCAGUUGCGUAGCUUAGAAGUAGGAGCCUGCACAACUUCAGGACUUCACAGAAAGAACACACUUUGUGCUUCGAGAAGUUAAUUAUGGGAAUAUCUUGCAACCUGCUGCUCUGAGCCUGUGCACCUGGGGUGUUUCCCCGGAGGUCCUGUGUAUGCGGAUACUCAUCAGCAUGGGGUUUGGGGAAGCCUAGCACUGGAGGCAACCUAGGUGGUGCUCUCCAGGGGAGUGGGUAAGAGCCCUGCAGUGUAUGCAUAUGAGGGGAUCCUAGGCAGCAGUGAAAAGCAUUGAAGGGAAAGCAUGUUGAGCAGUGCUCUGAAUCUGAUCAGAGCAACCUGAACACAUUUUAAACACAGGGCAUCUAGAACUAGGGUAGAGGCACUAGAGCACCAUAGACACAAACUCACAUUCUGAAGGUAAAUGUCCAAGUUCCAAUCCAAGCCCCCUCGCCAACUGACCACGACUCCCCCAAGUUACCUGACCUCUGUGUUUACAUCCUUAAAGUUAAGUAGUCAGGAAAGGGGGCUUGGGGCUUGCUACAUGAAUGGUUGCCACUCUCCUUUGCAAAGUGUAGUCCCCAAAAACAGGUGGAAGAGGGAAGGGUCCAAUCAGAAGGCCGAGUACCAGCUGCCGUGAAUAUGCCAGAGCUGCUGGCUAGUGAUAUAUAACUCAAAUCCGGUGGAACAGCAGAGCUAGGGUGACCUUACAUUCUAGGAAAGAAAAGAUGCUUGUUGUCCUGGCUUUUUAUCCAGCUUAAACAAAGAUGGGCAAAGAAAAUAAUUUAGAAAAUAGUAGAGAUGAGCACAGAGAAAGGGCACAGAUGGAAGCACAAACAGAAGGCCAAGUGAUGGUGGAGGCAGACACUGGAGAAAUGCCUUUGCAAGCCAGGGAAUGCCAAGGAUGCUGGUGACCCCGGGAGCGGGAUGAACCUGGAACACGCUCUCCCUCAGAGUCUCCAGAAGGAACCGGCCCUGCAUCACCUUUGGGACUUCUGGCCCCCAGAACUACACAAGAAAACGUUUCUGCUAUUGGAGGCCAUCCAGCUGGUGGUCAUUUGUUAUGGUCACCACAGAAAAAAAUAUAGAUUUAGGCAUCUAAUUUGCAUAUAUAGAUGUGCAUGUGUAUUUGUUAAAUAAAACACAAGGCAUAAUAACUCAAUGGACAACAAUACAACUCAUUAAAUUGUGUUGGUUAAAAAAAUGAUAGAUAUCACUCACACAUUUUUAUGUGCUGGUAAAGAGAAAAAUCCAAGACUACAUAGGGUUCCUCUUAUUUUAAUUAUUUUAUUCUUUUAAACAACAAACAAUGUGGCUAAAGCAAACAGAAAUUAUUUUUUCAUGAAACAAACAGGGUUCAAUGCACUGAAAUGAUGAAAAUGAUCAACCAUUCCCACCAGCAUGGAAACAGGGCUGGGGUUGCAGACAGUGAUGUGUGUGGUGUGCCUCUGUGGGGUUUGGGGUUUUGCUUAUUUUGAGGGAUGGGAGUAGAAGCCUUUCCGAGAAAUGCACACCCAGGAGCGAGUUCCUGGGCCACAGAGCUGGCUCCCUGCUGACUGACUGGUUCAUGGUGCAAUCCGGGUUUGGGGGCAGCUUUGCUGUAGGCAGGAGCCUCAACCCUUCAGAACAGGAUUCCACUCCUGAGACCUCAUCUGUCCCUGAGUCUCAGGACACACCAGCCGGAAACUGCAACCCUUCUGUGUCAAGCAAACAGCACUCAUGCUUUUGCAAUUCCCCAGUGCUCCCAGCACACCUGCAGCGUUUGGGGACACUGUUCUCCGUUUUCUCUGUGUGCUCAUCUACUUGGAUGCCAGACUAUUAUCAUCAUCCUCAUUCUACAGGGGAAACUGAGGCACAGAGAGGUUAAAGUCACUUUCCCAUUAUAGGGACAACAGGACUAGAAACCCAGAGCUCCACCAUCCAACUGAAGGAGGAAGGGGGCUUAGCUGCGUGGAAAGGGGGCGCCCUAUGGAACACACCCUUGGCUUCACCUUCACCUGUACUUGGUCGCCUCCGUUUCCCCUUUCUAUCUUCCUGGGCCUCAGUUCAAGGGCCACCUCCUCAGAGGGGCUGUCCCCACACCAGGGCACCCUCCCCCCACUCCUCCCCAUUUUGCUCUCUGCGUGGUGCCUUACUUGUCACUGUCUGAAGUUAUCCUGCUUUUGUCAGGGUCCCAGGGGCAGGGAAUAUUCUCUCUUGUUCCUGGAGAUCGUUGCCUCCCCAGCACUUAGUGGAGUGCUGGCUCCCAGGUCCUGGGUCUGCAUUCUCGUGGGCUUGGGCCCUGACCUCAGCCUCUGACAUUUACAUCCAUGUCUGGAGUGCCAGGCACAUCAUAUUUUACCCUCGAUGGGAACAAGACAGUUGCCCCAUUUUGAUGUAAGAAGAGGCCAAGUCCCCUGGCCCGGGUCACAGCAACAGGUGAAUUGAGAGCCAGGCACCCCUGACUCCUGAGUCCCAGGUUGCAGCCUGGCCUGAGGGCUGGGAAGACUUAAGGAAAUUCCAAAGGAACAGUUACUGUUUUUGUUAGAAGUCAAUAGCCAUGAGACCAGGAUGCUGGAUGCCCAGGGUCUCGCCAUCUGUAGGUUUACACAGAUUCCAGAAACGAGGCGACAGGCAUGAAGUCACCCCACAAAGGCCAGGCCAUCCAAGUAGGACACCCCAUGAGAAGGAAGUGGGUUCUGUGCCCGCCUCAGCCUGUAAAAACAGGACAGCAGGGCAGAGGAAUGAAGAGUCCCCAUCCAAGGGCUCUGCGGGGCUUCCACACCAUCCCUGAGCCAUCCCCCUUGGGCCUCUGGUGAGCAUGUGUGCGUGGGACACUAGGACCCUAUUUUUUUAAGCCACUGUGGUCAAGUCUCUCCUACAGCAGCUGUACGUGCUCGGUAACUAAAAGAUGCUUGCAUGUCUGACUCCUUUUGCAUUUCCUUGAGAGGCAGCAGUUACCCCAGGAAGGAUUAGGAUGUUAUGGUUGGAAUGCUGAAAGCUUUUGAUUUCCAAAACAGGCUAUUUGAGUCUGUGUCAUCCCAAUAGCCCCGCAGUCCUGCAUUCUGACCACCUGCCCUUUCCAUAGCAGGAGUCAAGACCUCUGAAACAGGUUGUGGAGUUUCACAGAACCCACAAGUAGAGGAAUCCCUGCCUGCACCUGCAAUGGGAAUCCUUCCGAAGGGAAGCCUGAGAGAAGCGAGGUGAGGCUGGGGUGGGUAUGGCUGGGUGGGGUGAGGCUGGUGUCCUCAGGGUUGACCCUCAUGGGGUAGAUGCAAUCUGAGAACUCAGGGAGUCUGAGGACUGUGCGACCUCCAAGCAACUACCCUGAACUACUCAUUCAUGAUUUUUAGAUAGAGCCGCACUCUCCCCUGCAGGGAGGAGACAAAAAUUUCCGAGAUGGCAGAGAAAAAUAGUCACCCUCAUGUGGGAGUGCCCUGGGGCUGCCAAAGAAAAUUACCACCACAAACUUGGUGACUUAAAACAACAGAAAGUUAUUUUCUCCUAAUCCUGGGGGCCAGAGCCUGAAAUCAAGCUGUCAGCAGGCCUCUGUUCUCCCCAGAGGCUCCAGGGGCAGCUACUUCCUGCCUCUUCCAGCUCCUGGUGGCUCCAGGCACUCCUGGGCUUGUGUAGCUUCACUCCAAUCUCUGUCUCUGUGUCUUCUUCUGUCUCUUAUAAGGGCACUGUCAUAGGACUCAGGAACCUCUCCAAACAGGAUGAUCUCAUGUCGAAAUGCCUAACUGAUAAUAUCUACAAAGACCCCUUUUGCAAAGAAGACCUCACUCACAGGCUCAGGGGUUAGGAUGCGACCAUCUCUUCUUAGUGAAGAGUCGUGAGGGCUACCAUUCAGCCCACUACACCCAGCAGUAGCCGUUCCAUGCCCUGCAGCUGCACUGAGAUGACAGAAGUUGUUGUAGGAAAUUCUUCCAUUUUCUUUUCCUGGAAAGCAAAACUAGUGCAGGAAGAAGGGAGGGGAGAGUAGGAGAUGUGUCUGGAGUAUGGGCUUGGCUGCUGCAGUGCAGAUCCUGAAUAGGACAGGUCUGAAUGAGAAGGAAAUUAAGUCUUGCUUGUUCACAGCUCUCCAGGUGUGCAGUGUGCAGGGCUGAGUGGCAGUCCCUGUGUCAGGGAUCCAGAAUCUCUUGCUGGUUCCUCUGCCAACCAUAGGCUGCUGUACCCAUCUGCAUGGCUCACCUCCAAGUCCUCUUUCUGGCCAAGGGGAGGGAUGUCCAUGACUAAUGGUGAGGUUGUUGCACAUUGGCAUGGCUGAGAGCCUCCUUCUGGUGCCAUGUAUUCUAACUGCCUGUAUUCUAUUGGUUGUUCAAUGUUUGGGCUGCCACCCCUGGUAUAUCCCUCCCCUUGAAGGCAUGACCCAGAAGUUAUACCUAUCACAUCCUCUUCCACUCACACCCUAUUGGCCAGUAUUUGGUCAUAUGACUACAGCUAGCUGCAAGGGAGUCUGGGAAAUGUAUUCUUUAUUGGAGAUGGCCAUCUGCCUGGCAGAAAAUUCUAAUAAUGGAUACUGGGGAAAUGGAUAACUGGGUGAUAGCUAACAUUCUCUGCAAAGGAGGGAUCUGACUUUCUGGGACCAGGCUCAGCAUCUCCUGGCUCUUCCAAUGACUGGGAGACUGCUGGAGAAAGGCUGAUGGGUCUUUGCCUGGAAAAGCCCUAGAUCUUAUGGUGGCCUGGAUCCUUGAGGAUAGCAGUUAUGGGACGUUGCUGGCUUCACUUUGCUUGUUUUUACACCAGCUGAUGCCCACUGCCCCAGCAUGACAAGGGUUCAGCUUUCUGUCCUUUGAGAUGAUAGCCCACUCUCUGCCCAAAUAGGUGAAGAAAACUGCAUUGAUUGUACACUUUGGUGCUAGGUACUGUAGCAAGCAUUUCUCCAUGCAUUACUGCUAUUUGAGAAGCGGCAGGAGCUCUCUGGCAAACUGCCGUCUGCAAAAUAGGAUGUAAACAAUCCCCCAGAGUAGCCUGCUCAAGGCCUUUGGGGACCUGGGGGUAGCCCCCAGCAUGAGUUGGCUGUGGGGUGCUAUGUUGCCCAGCAGGCUGUGUGAGGUUACUAGCCAUAGGAAGGUAAAACCACCUCCUUUCCUUGGCGAUAUCCUACUUGCAUUGUGUGUUUCAAAGCCUCCUGCCAGACCCCAAACGAAGCACUCACGCCAUCCUGUUCUCGUUGUGGCUCAAUGAUAAUAGAGAGUGGACCUGCUCUAGUCCACUCAUUCAUUCACUUUUUCAGCAGUCAUUAAUUUAUUCAGCAAAUAAGAGUAUAUUCUAAAGGCCAGACCAUGUGUUAAAUGCGCCAGGCAGCAUCUCUGCAGCUAAGCAGUGUGUGAUAUUAUGGAUAGACAGGCACAGACAUGAUUGUAUCAUGCUAAACUAUUAUGCUAAAAGUAAUGUGAAUUGGCCAAUAAGGAUAUGGAAAUAGGUCCAGCCUCACUAGAACUGUUCAGGAAAUGUGAAUACUAAUCCCCCAGAUACCUACUUCCGGGUAUAUAUCUAGAGGAACUGAAAAUGGGGCUGAGCUUGGUGGCUUGCACCUGUAGUCUACCUACUCAGGAGGUGGAGGAGGGAGGAUCUUUUGAGGCCAGGAGUUCAUUGCUGUAGUGAACUUUGAUCACACGACUUCAUUCCAGCCUGGGCGAUAGAGCUAACCCAUCGCUUAAAAAAACAAGAA